rnacentral:lncRNA from 1 species
ACAAAUCAAAAGGUACUUAGCAGCUGUACUAGUUAACUAGGUAGAAAAGCUUGAUUAUUCUGAUGUGCUAAUUAGACACACACACACACACACACACACACACACACACACACACACACAUAUAUAUAUAUAUAUAUGUCCAGAACGAUGAACAAUUGAACAACACAGCAACCCAACUCGAUCGUCUAUCAUCAGCUGAUCAUGCAUCUUCAUGGUCUCCAAGUUACUCCUAGCUCCCAGAAUCGACAAUGCCAUCAUGUGCUUAAUUAGCAAGCAAUCAUCUAGAUCUCUGCAGAAUGAUAUCAAUGCAUGAUUAAUUCGCAGCUGUGUUGCGAUGAAUUAUACUCCCUCCGUUUCACAAUGUAAGUUAUUCUAGCAUUUCCUACAUUUAUAUUGAUAUAUAUAUGUAUUCAUUAAUAUCAAUAUGAAUAUGAAAAAUACUAGAAUGACUUAUAUUAUAAAACGGAUGAAGUACAUAAACUAGUAGAUAAAAUCAUUGCGAUAUAUAUAUUCACAUCACACACCUGAUGAGAGUAUCAGGAUGUGCCAUGUAUGCUUUGCUUCGUUUGUUCUUACCACAGCUGCAGGCCGUGGCCGGCGGCGGCGGCAUGGAAGCUGCUGCUGCUGCAGCCGGGGUCCUGCAGGUUGGGCUGCGUCGGCUGCAGCCGGAACCCGGCGGCGGCGGCGGCGUCGACGGCGUGCAGCGGCGGGGUGAGCUGCAGCGCGGUGCUCGACGACUCCUCGCCGUAGUACGCCGGCGCCGCCGUCAGCAUCGACAGCACCGGCGCCAUCUCCACCAUCGCCUUCACGUCGCCGCCGCCCACCGCCGCCUGAUGAUGGUUCUCGUUGAUCUGAAUUCAUAUAUAGUUUCAUGUACAAGAAUCAACCAAACACCAUAAUUAAUGUACAUAUAUGUGCUUCAAGAAUCAAAACAUUUUAAUGAAUUCUUGAUUACUGAUUAACUAACUAUACGUAUACCAUGCGGCACAGGAAGCUGUUCUGGUCUUCCAGGAUGUGCUCCUGUUCAUCAAUUUCAUGCAUAGAAUUGAAUCAAUCAUUUUUUUUUUCAUCAUCAUACAGCAAAGUAUUUGGUGUUUCAUGAUCAGUUUAGUAGUGCAAAUUAAUUACCUUGCGACGAAGGUUGUCCAGCUGCUGGUUCAGGAGCUGAUGCUGCAACAAGCAAGAAUUAAUGUGAAACAACUAUUUUUUAUUUUUUUAACGAAUCGGCACUUAGAUACACCUAUUUCAUUGAAUAUAACAAAAUAAAAAACUUACGAAAGCAAAGCUUUACAGAAAAGAGGAAAAAACUAUGGGAUCAAUUAAUCCCUAAACCCUAAACUUACCAUUUACCAUUGAAUCAGAGACUGAUCAUUCUAAAUUAACUCUGAAGAAUGAUUCAUUCAUCAAAUACUAUCUUCUUAAUCAAUUACUAGCUCUAUUUCAUAUUACAAGUCAUUUUAAUUUUUUUUCUUUUAAGUUUGAUUAAAUUUAUAGAAAAAAAUAGCAACACAUGUAAUACCAAAUUAAUUUUAUUAAAUCUAUCACUGAAUACAUUUUGAUAAUGUUUGUUUUUGAAAUACUAAUAUAUUUUUUAUAAACUUGAUUAAACUUAAAUAAAUUUGUAAAAAAAAUUAAAACGACUUAUAAUAUGAUAUGGAGGAAGUAAUUACCUUUCUCGCACGGACUUUGGUGACGGAGAAUUCGAGCUGCUGCUCGAGAUCGUUGAUGUCGGCGAGCGUGAGGUUGGAGAGGUCGUCGCCGGUGAACCUCCUGAUGCCACCGUCCAGCUUCUCCAUCUCGUUCCUCAUCCGAGUCAUCUCCACAAAUAUUUGCUAUAUAUAUGUGCACAUUAAUUAUAUUUGAUCAGUGCAUUUGAAAGAAAAUUUCAUUUCAACUGCUGGCAGAUAGAUCGAUAUAUAUUCUGAUAUUGAUCAGACAUUGUGUUGCUGAUUGUAAAAUUAAUGUAUACCUGAUCGUGGUUGAUCUCCUCGAAAUGAGUGUUGGUGACGGUCUGGUAAUGCUCGAUGAGUUCCCUCAAACUAUAUAUUGUCAAACAUUGAAACAAGUACCUUGAUUAGUUGUGAGUUAAUUAAUACUUUGAUAAGUUCAUGUAUCUAAUUGGAAUGGUGCAUGUGUAAUUCUUUUGCGCAUUCAAAAAAGAAAUGACAAUCUCUGAUGUACAAAUCAGAUGGUAUAAAUUAAUUUUGUAGCUAGAAUUUUCUCUUGGUGAUGUAUAUACUUACAGAGAGUAUAUUAUUUUAGAUCAAAAUGAAACAAACGAAAAUUUCUUAACUAAUAACAGGAAUGAACAGGGGAUCGGAAGAAAGAACUUCACAUGAAUAUUCACAUAUUAAUUAACUAUAAUAUGCUGCAGAACAGUAUAAAAUCAUGUGAGAAACGUCUGGGGAUCUUCCGGCUAGCUCCACAAAGUGGUGGACUAGACAACCAAGGUUCGAAACCUCACCUCUUCUAAUUAUUUAAUAUUAGGUCAUUCUCUUAUAUUCGCAUCUUUUUUUAAGUAUAAAAACAUGCAUAACAUAAGAUAAGAUAUGGUCGUACUGUCGUACACUUGUUCAAAUUAUAUUCCCUGUUGAUAUACAUCUUUUAGUUUGAUUAAAUUAGCCACAUAUGAAAUAGUUUUUUGGGGAAAUCCACCUAAAAAACCCAGCUCGAUCCUAGAAAUCAUUAGAAAGAGGGAAAUAAGGAUUAAUUAACUAGUUGACUAUAAAUUCAGGAUCAAGUUGCAAAUCUACAUACAUAUAUGUUGCUCAGAGAUGUAAAAGACAAGUGCGUAAUCAAGUCACAAGAGACACUAGGGCAUAUAGAUCAUUGCUUAUGUAUGCCUUUGAUCAUGAUUUAAUUUUGUAAUAGAUUCUUGGCUCUUCGAAAAUAUAUCAAAGGAAACUGCAGAUGCAUACAUAUACACUGAAAAUAGUUAAAAUGAAGGUAGGAAAAACUCGAUCGAUCAGGAGUUCAGGACAAGAAAAAUAGUUCAGAUGAAGAAUAAAUGCAAGGCAUCCAUCCAUUAUAUGAACAGAUCAAAUGAUCAUAAUUAAACACUCUUGCCCAAAGAAAACAAAGGGUAGAAACUGCAUGAGUUAGUUAAUUUUCUCUGAAAAACAAAAUAAAGGCCGAGAGAAACUUAGCCGAAAACUUAAUCUCUUGGUUGACAAAAAACAAGAAAUUAAUUAACCCAUCAAAUCAAGCACUAAAAAGAGAACAAGAGACACUAAGCUGGAGAAAGGAAAGAUUGAACAGCAUCUGAUAAUAUAAGAGAACAAAACAAGAACCGUACCUGCAGGUAGGGCUGCAGUACUCGAACAUCUUGCCGGUGCUGGAGAAGAUGACGACGCCGACGCGGGCGUCGCAGAGCACGGCGAGCUCGUUCGCCUUCUUCAGUAGCCCUCCCCGCCUCUUCGAGAAUGUCACCUGCCUGUUCGUCGCGUUCUCGAUCCUCUUGAUCUCGAUCUUGCCGCGCCCCAUGCCUGCUAUACCUUCCUGAUCGAGUUUAAUUUAAUUUCUGUGUUCUUUUGUUUCUCCUUCUUCUGCACAAGAGGAAACUGAAGAAGAAGAAGAAGAAGAAGAAGAACAGAAAUGGCCAAGUUAUGAACAUAUCGAUACAUGGACGAAUUUUGUUAAAAUCAACAUAAGGCAUGGGUGCUCAAAUUGGAUUUCCCCCCACAGCUAUGUAAAGGGUGCAAUCAGAAGUAGAAAAAAUUUCAUGUAGAGAAGAGAACAACUAGUAGCUAGAGAUGUAAAAACUCUUUGCUGCGAAAGGAUGAAGAACUAGCUAGAAAAGGUGUCCUUUUUUUUUUCUUGAAUUACUCAUGAACAGGGUAGAUAGAUAGGGCAGGAGUAGUAAUGUGCUAUGUACAUACCUUGUGAAGUGCUAAGCUUGCUUCAAAGGCUAAGGCAGGAGGUGCAGAAGGAGAGACAUAUAUAGGAGAGAGAGCUUGUAGUAAUGUGCAACACACAAUGCUUUCUCUCUGUCACACACUCUCACACUACUACUCCUGCAAAUCAAAUCAGUGUACUACUCCAAAUCAAAUCAAAAGUAGAUGGAGGGAGUAGUAAAUAUCCAGAAAGCAACAAACUACAUUUUUAACUGUAACUAAUAUGCUAGCUAGUCUAGUUUUACAUUUACCCCUGCAUCAGUGUGUAAUUAGGAUCAGAUAGUGAGUCAAAGCAAGAAACGGAUGCAGACAUAAGCAUGACUUCAUGAUGAUGAUGAUCAGAUCAGUGUGCAUAUCCAUGUGUGUACUUGCAGCAUGCAAUGAUGAUGCACUAGCAUAUACUCUCUGGUCGAUCUCUGCACAAAUACACGAGCCUAGCUUGUGACACAAAACACACACUGCAACAGUGCAUAUAUCACGCACACAAAAGUUCAGAGAUAUCAGUGUAUGUAGCUCAUGCAAUAUAAUGCAACAGUAUUACUCAUCAGAGCACAGUGCAGCUAUAUAUACAUGGGCAUGGUAUAAAAUCAUGAACACUACAUGCAAUUGCGAGGAAGGUGUAUGUAGCUAUAGCAACUCUCUGCAUGCCCCUCACAAGGCACCAUGGAAAGCAACAUGUGUGUGGACUUGUAACCACCCUCUGACAGUGUGGGCCCACCCGGUUUCCUCCUCCUUGCCGAUCUUGGCAGCUAGGUUUGUUAGGUUGGCCAUGGCCAUGAGGAGCUCUCCAGGGACAGGGUACACUUGCUGCUUAUGGCAACAGAGCCAAGAAAACCCUAGCUCCCUUGUUUGUUGCUAGCUAGCUAAGAGAGAGAGAGAGAGAGAGAGAGAGAGAGAGAGGUAUAUGUGCAGCUAGCAUAUUGAUCACUAUGGUUGCUUGCUUGCCUUGAUGGGGGACUGCCACUGCACAUUGUACCACAUGGGGUGGAGGGGGGGUGGACUGCACCCCUCAUUUGGGAAGGAAGAAAUAAAUUUGGCAGAGAUUUUGAUCUCUCUCCAUGAUGGCUUGGCUAAUUAUAUAGUAGAGAGCUAGGGUUCCCUAUGUGAUCAAGUUCCGCGAGAUUCCGUGUUUCUCCUUUACAGUAAGUUUAGUUUUACGGUUUUGCUAGCUAGCCGUCGACAGUUUUGGAGGCUGAAAACUUUUGAUUUUCUGGCCGUGCGAUCCACGCCAUGAUUCGUGCGAGAUUUGGAAAAAAAAAUCUGCGCGAGAAUUAAGGUGUGUCCUUGCAAGGGCUUGAACCUAGGAUAUCCAUCCCACAAGCCGUGCGUGCUAGCCACUUAGAUCUGUUGCAUGUUUUUAAAAAAUUAAUUGAGUUACAUGUUAGUUAUACUCCAGUUGCACCCUACUAUAACUGCAUUGUGUAAUUGCAUUGUAACUACGUUAUCAUCUCUAUAUAAUUUAGAUAUAAAGUUACAUAUAUUAUUUUAAUACUUAUAUACGAGUUACAUUAUAGUUAUAGUAAAAUUAUAUUACAAUUAUACUAUAGUUAGAUUUGAAAGUUUUUUCCUUAAAAAACUUGCAACAGUUUUCUAGUUAGUCCCUAGUUUUAUUACGCACAUGCAAGUGGGUUUUUUAAUAUGAAUUCAGUGAGAUCGGGGAUAUGUUAUUGGUUUUCAUCUCUUUGAACGUGUAUUAGGAGGCACAUUCGCUGGUGUGUGUGAGCGUCAUGGUGCAUGUGCGUCUAUCGUGUAACCAGGAAAAAAAUAAUUUUAAUUUUAUUAAGUAUUCUUAAGAACUAAUGAUAUCUAAGUUAUUAUGCAUUUUAUUUGCUUUCAGUCAGUCAGAGGGUCAUUGGCUGUUAAUUGUUGGUUGACCUUCUGUUUGUCCAAAUCAAUACAUAAUUUUUGGGUGGACAAUUUAGUAUAGAAGUCCAUACGAUAGGGGCAAAAAUCAAUAAAGAAGAUCAUUCAGUAACUUAUUAUAUAUCCUGAGGAAUAUUCAGUCUAGCUAGCUACCUCGAUCUGAAUUUGACGAAUCAGUAAUGCUAAAGUAACAACGCAUUCAUGAUCAUGUUGAAAUGUUAAUGGAGAGCUGGUGGCAUAUAUUCGGAGCAUAUAUACAUAUAUAUGCAUAUAGCAGCCCUUUUUUUUGGUGAGGACAUGUAGCAAAUAUAUAAUGACCAUAUAUAAGCACACAAUAUAAACAAAUAUGUACUGUAGACAAGAAUACAAAAAAAAACUUAGGCUCAGAACUGUGUAAGCAUGCUAGUUAGCUUUUAGAAAAUCUUACAUUAACCAAAAGUAAAUGGGCAUUCUUACCCACAUAUAUAUGAUCAGCAUUUUCAGGCUACUUGUUGCAUGAACAUCCAAACAAUCUUAAUUUGCACAUAUAUUUGUACAUAUAUUUUUCAUCUCAUCCACUGUCUGCAACUGUUGCAUAUGUAGAAAGCGAGGACUUCCAUUUAUGAAACACUGAUUGUGAAAGGAAACGGCCUCUUUGCAUCAAGUUCUGUGGCUUUCCUUUGUCGAUGAAGCUUGGUUUCAGUCCCAGAUUCUUUCUCAUAUCCACCAAAUGUGCAAAUUCAGAGAGAUCACACGCUUUACAUCGUCUGAUUGAUCGACUGCCGGUUCAGAUUGAGACAUACACAAAUUACACGAAAUUCUAUAUCACUGUAUAUUUCCAAAGUAAUCCAUCCAAAUAUGCAUGGUUGAUUUCUCAUCCAAACUGUCUGCACAUAUACAAACGCGUGCAAUUGAGUUGAUCCACUGCAGCAAAUUCAGGUAACUCAGGAGAUCAGUAAAAGAUUGGAAGAAUUAAUUAUCACUUGCCAACACUAAUGAAAUUCUGAUCAACUUGAUGGGCUAACUUUUGUUCAGAGUUGGCAGAAAUCUGAACAUCAUUAAUUAGAUGACAUUUGCCACGUAGUUGUGUGAAAUCAGAUGGCAACAGAAAUGGAAAAAGGUUAUGUUGAGGAAGCUUAGCAAGAAAUCUUUUGCCAUAGAUGUUCCUGAUGAGUUGUAACCACCACCACUUUACAGCAAUGACAAUUAUUGAUGUGCCAACUGCCAAAGUAUUCAAGAAAGAUCAGCUUGUAGUAUAUAUUGUUUUCAGGGGUGAUUUAAUUUAUGUGAUGAGAAAGUAAUUAAACAAAUUACUUACAAUACUUGAUAGUAAUCAUAAAUGGAGUCCGAAUAGUGGAUCCACCAAACUCAAAAUAAUUAAUCAGCUUUAGUCAGCUAGGAAACAGAUUCAACUAUAUAAGUACAUACUUUGGACCCCUCUUCUGAAGCUGUAACCUGUUGAUUAUCAUGAAGGCAAGAUGUGAAUUCAUAUACACAUGGUCUGUGCGUAUGAAUUCACAUCUUGUCUUUGUCUGACUGAUAGCUACAGCCUGAUACUUGCAGCAGUACAUGAUUACACAUUACAUCUACUACCAUUGAGGAAAGGGAGAGAAUAUGAGUGACUCAUCUUUCCUAACUCACACAAAACAAGGACUCAAGGAUGACACACAAACUAGUAGUACUAUUCAUUUGGUAUUCUGUUGUGUGCUUGUGCCUUGUGACAUAUGCAUUUAAUAAUACCCAACUCUACCAUUAAAGGAAAAAGAAAAUGUUGUUUUCCAGUAUGAUACAUGGACUUAUGUAACUUGUGCAAGGAAACCCACCUCAUCUCAGUCGAUUUUUCCAUCCAUCCGAUAGAUCAAGAUCCAAUGGUCCAGGUCAAUCAAACCAUUCAAUACAAAUACCAAUUUCUAACACCCACCUCUCUUCUACUCCCCAGCUGCCGCUGCCAUGCAUCCACACCUUCUGCUUCAACAGGUGACUCCUCCAACGAUGCUAGACGCCGAUGAGCCCUCCGCCGACCACCGCUCACCAUUGAUUCUACCUAAGCUUUGCGAGGUGCCCCCGCCCCAUCCACGUCCUCGUCCUCCGACUCUACCAUCCGCCACCACCUAACCAGUUGGACGAGAUUCGUCCACCUUGUUCUCCUUUUUCUUAGUUGGAUCCUGCCACGGGAUCUACCAUAACCGUCCACCGCUACCUAACCACUCGACCGAGAUCCCCCUAACCUAUACCCUCCCCCUUCGUCUUCAAUGGCUCCCAUCAUUAGAUACGCCACCACUACUACCCCCCCCCCCCUCUUUGUACCCACGGCUCCGAUUGCACCACCGCCGCCUCGUCGCCUUCUCACCACCACCCACCAUUGGGCCACACCUCCCCGGCCUUCCUCUAAGCCGGGGAACUCCCUUCUCUUCCUCAUCCUACUGUGACCUCCAACUGUGAAUUAUAUUCUAACUGGUUGGGGUUGUUGUAGCCAGUUAACAGAGUUCAUCAAGGUCAUUGAAGAUGGAGGAGAAGCUCACCGAAGCACGGUAACAAAGUAGAUCCGAAAGCCAGAAAUCUGUAAGAUUUGGAAUUCUAUUUUCUAUUGAAUGUAGGUUAGCAGUUCUGUAGACAACAUUUUCAAGCACGAAUGAUAUGGCAACUGGUCUAUAUAUACAUAGUAAAUUAAUGAAGUGUGAAAACUUGUUUUGUGCUUAAGAACAGAAUCUAAAUUUGACCUGAAGAAGAUAAACUUUUAUGAACAGCUAACGCGGUGAUGAAUUUGAGAGUAGGGAAACGAGCUAGCUAGAGAAUGAAACUUCAUACAGGAUACGUUGUGGACAUGGAUCGAUUAGGAUAUAUCCAUCACAAAGAAAGCAACCAUCUGCUCUUCCAUGCUUCAGCAGCAGCAGUCCUGAAUUCCUGAUGCUUUGCACAUCGAUCAGCCUCAGCUUUGGCCCUUGGGGACUGCCAAAUCGAGUGCAAGAUUUUUGUAAAGCAGGAGGUAUGAUGGCCAAUGAAAGCUAUUACCCACGAUCCCAAACAUCAAGCGAACAUAAUAAGAUUACGCUUUGGUUGUAUGCAUCGAUCCUAGUUAUGCAGAGGCCACGAUUGUUCUCACCGCAGUUAUAUCACCUUGAUAUAAUCGAUUAGUUCAAUAAAAACUUUCAUCAUCUAAAACUAAUUAAUAAGAGUACGCACACAUGAUCCUAAUAAUUUUGAAGUUGCUUAAAAAAAUAGCGGUCUAAUAUUAUCUAGUUCUGGUCAAAACUAACGAGGGUUCGUGAAUGGGGGAGUAAUUCAUUUGUCGUUACAAACUCAAUAUAAGAAAAUAGGGAUGGUACAUACUAGCUGGUAUUCCCUUGUUAUUUUAUUGUGUACUGAUAUCUUGUAGUCUGACCAUUUAGUACUAAUAUGGGACACAUACUGGAUUGAAGGAAAGAAAUUGUUUUCCACUAUAUUUGCCCCCUCUUAACCAGUAAAUAGGAUUGGACGAGGCUCGGACAAACAAAGCGCAUUUGCACUAACCUUAUCCCCUCCUCGUGCCAACCUUAUCCCCUUCCCAUAUGAUGUACGGAAGCUCCUCGUACCCAAAGGUGUCCAUGGUGAGGUCGAAGUCCACCACCGCACCGCACAUGAACUCCCACAGUAGCACUGCCUCGGUCACCUGUAGCGGCGGCUCCACCUAGGACACCCUCUUCGACUGGACGAUGGCCUAGACCUCAUUGAGGCCAUCAUCAGUUUUUCCGGUCACUUGGAGCAAGCACCGCCGGGAAGGUAACCCCCUCAACGAGCCACCGUUCUGGGAUGGUGGCCUCUUGGACAAAGCUCCUCACCGGCGUCAUGUCCCAAGGCUAGGUUCGAUUAAAUCCGCUGUCAAUUAACCCGCCAGCGCCAGACGUCGUCGCACCACCGCGGGUUCCUGACCCUACCCCAUGCUCAAUGUCAACUACGGCACAACGAGGUUCGAGCGUGGCAUCCCCUUCUCCUUUUUUUUGUUUUGGCUCACGAGCUAAAUAAGCUGGCUCUGGCUCAAGCUAGCACACAAGCCGAGCCAAGUGUUUAGCGCGUUAGCAUAGCAAGCUGAGCCAAUCCAAUUCGUUAUCCUAAUGAGCCCGGAUGAACUGAGUUGACUCGAUAUCCAUCCCUACAUUGAUAUUUGAAAUGAAUCAAUGCCUGCAUAUACCAGCAAGCUUAAAUCUGGUCCCUAUUAAUCAACCCUAUCAUAUCUAUUAUUCCUAGUUUAAUUGGGUAUGAUUUGGCUAGCUAUUGUACAUAUACAAUCAGUUAUUAAUGGCAUUAUUUAUUUGUGCAUAUCUUGGUCACCUAUAUAUGUGUAUAUAUAGAAAAUGUUGAUUACACCAUAAAGAUAGGCCUUUUAUUAUUUGCAAUCAUAACUUUUUUCCAAAUUAUUAAGAAAUCGAAUAGUGUGUUUCAAAAAAGAAAAGGGGGGCCAUAGCAGCUAUAAAAAGCCAUGCCAACCCAAUCAGAUAGCCAUCACCUUCACAGCCAGGAUUAGCCUAGCUAACAGCACCCCUGCCGCAGCCUCCCUUUUGCAAUUCGCCGUCAAUUCAUACGUAAAGCAGCUAUAGCCAUGCAUAGGAUGGUGAAGCUACUCUGCACGCUGCUGCUGGCCCUUUCUCUCACGGCCCACUAUUCGGGUAAAUUUCUCGUCGUCCCAAAAUAACUCCAUUUCUUUUCUCUUAUCCAAGUUCAUAUCUAGAAAUAAAAUGAAGUACUUGUACGAUCGAUGGAGGUAGUACUGUUUAUAUAUCGAUUUAUAUGACGAAGAUCGUCUUUUCUUUUUGAUUAUAUAGAAUACGCACAUGUGAAAACUUAAUAAGUUUUGAUUUGAUCUGAAUUUGCAGAUAUGUCGAUGAAGGUGUCGGCCGAUUGUCAGAGCGUCAACGUACCCGGCCCCUGUUCUCCCACAACGUGCGAUGAUAACUGCAAGUCGCAAAUAGGUGCUGGGGCUGUUGGCGAGUGUACGUCCGGGGGAUGCCAAUGCACCUUUUGUACUCUCCCUCCUCCAAAGAAGAACUGAAUAAUUAAUUAUGAUGAUGAUGCAUCAUGGUCUGUGAUGUAUCAUUUAAUCCUAGCAUAAUAAAAUUAUACGAAAUUGUGUCGACGAUAUAUGUGGAUGUCUUUUGGUUCGAGCGACGUUUAAUUUGGUGCAUCUCUUACUUGAAGAUUCUUGUUUCGUGGAAUUAGAGUUGUACUAAAUAUUUUUGAGAUCUCGAAUAAUACAGAAGGAUGUUGCCGCUCCGUUUCUGAAAAUUAUGGCCCGUUUGGUAUACAGCUCCUACACUCCGAGAUUCUUGUUUCGUGGAGCUGAAGCUGUACCAACUGUAGCUGUCAUAUCCACUAUAUUAAUCAUAAUUUAAUUCGCUUUAUUUUCUUCUUCUGCUGAGAUUUUUUAUUGAUUAGAUUUUGCCAUAUUUGCAAGUAAUUAAUUUUUUAUUUUUUAUUUUUUUUUGCGAGGACAAGUAAUUAAUUAUUUGAGCGUAUCUUGGUUACCUAUGUAUAGAAUAUGCUAAUUACACCAUAAAGCUAGGCCUUGUUAUUUGCAUUAAUUCUAUAUCCUUUCGAAAGAAACCGCAUAUAUGUUUUUCCAGAAAGAAAAACCUAGCGUCAACUAUGCAAGAGUAUAUAUGUGUCUAUAAAAGUCACAUCUGUCGUUCAUCCUCACAGUAACAGCUAUCCCUCGCGGUCUACUGUUGGGGUAAAAUUCACUACUCCCAUAUUAUAAGUCGUUUAUUUUUUUUAAGUCAAACUUCUUUUAGUUGAAUGAAAUUUAUUAAAAAAAUCAAACGAUUUAUAAUAUGAAACAGAAGGGGUUUCAUUUUUAUUGCACAUAAGAUACGUAGUGUAAACUUAAAAUAAGCUUCGAUAUGAUCUGAAUGUAGUAGCUAGGUGUGUCGAUGGAGGAGUUGGCCGAUGGAGCAACCCCAAAGGACUUACGCAAAACCAUCACCAUAUAUAUCCGGUCUGUGUUUUCCGAAGUUAAGUCGUGCCUUGUUUACAGCAACAAGCAAGUUGAUGCAGCUUCUACCAGCGGGAUGCCUAUAUACCUACUGUCUCUAAACUUUAAAGAGAAUAAAAUAUUUUCUUUGUCUCAAUAUAAGUAAAAUCUAGUACAAAUAUAACAUAUAUUAAAACUAUGAAUCUAAACAAUUUUAUAGUUCUAUAAUAUAUUACAUCUGUAUUGGAUUACACUUAUAUUAGGACGGAGGGAGUAGCUACGUUAGAUACCAUGCAUGUACAAUGGAUCCACUAAUUAAUUAGUUCUUGCUACCAGCACAUUACCCAUGUUCAAGGGCUCCACAAAGAAAAAUUAGAGGAAUUUUGAAGGAUUUGAUUCGUAUGGAAAAAAUAUUCAUGUGUGGUUCUUUGGAACAAUAGAGAAUAACUCUCCUAAAAUUUAUAGGAAUUUCGGAGAAAUUCAUGGUUUUCUCUUCCAGUAACAUAAAGUUUGUGUCAUCCAAACAGUAAUUUUGAAAUUUUAUAUGUUUUAAGUUCCUAUAGGAAUUCAAUUAAUGGGCAUGACGCUUUACUCAUGCAUUUUUUAUGUUUCUAUGUUCUCACAAUCCUGUACUCUGAAAAGUCCUAAUCUACCUAAAACUGUGGUAAUAAAAAUGCCCCAUUUGGGUUGGAGCUUCAGACAUAUGAUAAGGUGUGUAGCAAGAAAUCUUAUGCUUCUGAUACGUAACUUGAUGGCUAUCAUAUAAAACGGAGUCGAACUUGUAGAUCCACCAAACUCAAAACCAUCCGCUUGCUUGCCUGCUAGCAGCUAGGCACAAAUUCAGGCAUUCAGCUACAAGUACCUGGACUGUAGAUACCAAAUGAAGUGCGUUUUGUGCUUAUGGACUGUACUACAAUCUAAAUUUAUCCUGAAGAAGACGAGCAUUUAUGAACAGUAAACCCAGAAAUUUGAGAGUUCAGUGAACAAGCUAGAGAAUUUGCCCAAAGUUUAUACAGGAUAUGACUAUCGAUGCAAGGGUACUUGUCCCACCCACUUUCAUCCAAAGUCAAUACACAGGCAGUUAACUUUCACACAUACAAAUAGGAAUAGGAUUCAACAGAAAGAAACCAACCAUCUGUUUUUUCCAUGCUUCAGCAGCAGCAGUCCUGAUGCUUUGCACAUCAGCCUCUGCUUUGAUGACUGCCAAAUCAGGGAGGCAAGAUUCUUGCAAAGCAGGAGGCAUGAUGACUGAUAAAUGAGGCAACAGACUGAUGCAUGACAUGAACAAACACUCAAUUCAUACAAGGGUCUCCACAUGCCAGCACUUUUGAGUAUUGGAUUAGAAACUGAUGAAAGGUAAGGUACAGUUACUACAUUAGUUGCAAAUCACCUACCAAAUCACAAUCUUUUUUUUUUCUACUGCUGCCAUAGCAGAGCAGAACUAACAUUAGGAAAGCCUAAGACCUAAUCAGAUUACCCGUUUCAGCCAACAAUCAUGGGAAUAGUUUUGACAAGAGCACUGAGUUUUAGAGGCCCUAAGUUCACAGGACAAUGUAUAUCAAUGUCACAACUUCACUGUAUCAUCUUUAGCUACUUUCUGGCAGAGAGUGCUGCUCUUCAGGGGCCUCUUCCUGUUGCUCUUGAGGCUGCUGCCACACAUACGUCACCGGGUGACCUUGCUGUCCACCGUACAUCAUUCCUGAUCCAGGCCCCUGCUGCGCUGGCACGUAGUAAUAUGGAUAUGUGUCUGCUGCGCCCCCCACAUUAGGCGGUAGGCCAACCCUCGGAAGCCCAAGCCCUUCUUCUUUCAUUUCAUCCCUGGGAACUAUGUCCACCAAGAAGUCAUAGAUAUCAGUCCUGGUGAUGGCAGCUGCAAUGUCAUUCUUCUGCAAGGUCCGGCGCUUGUUCUCCUCCGUGUGCAUCCACGACCUCAAUGUUAACUCUAAUAUGAAUACCUCGCAUGCCUUUGCGAAGACAACGGGGGCUUCUGCCGAGAUCAUCCGGACAUCCUCAUCAGCCUUCAUUAUCUUCUUUAUCCUUGCGAGUGGCAAGCUGUGGUUCUUGAAGUCGGUUGUUUGCUCAAUCUCUUCCAUUUGGUUAGCCCAGAACUCACGGAGUUGCUGCUGUUGCUGUUGCUGCAGCUGCUGAUGAAAUUGCUGGGCUUGUUGGUAGACUAGCUGGUGCUGAGCACUGAGUUGAGCUGGAUUAGUGGGGAAUGGUGCUGAUGGCUGUGAGCCAGGAGGAACAACAGCAGGAGCUCCAGGAACCAUGGCUUGAGGUGGAUAUGCAGCAGCAGGAGGAGGAUAUGCUUGUGACCCACCAGUGGCAACACCCAUCACAGGCUGAGGCUGUGAGGAUGGUUCCAUGUCAGCUCUUGUCCGUCCAAAGCCAAAGGCCCUGUCGUUGUGGGAAACAGUUGCAAGUAUUGAUCAGUUGAUCUUUUGUAUAGAUUAACGAGAAAGAUCAUGAUAGGUUCUAAAUUUGUAUUUUGUCAAAUACAAUACACAUGAGUGAGAAUACCUUGGUAUAAGAAUGGAACUCACUGCUUUUCCUUUACAAAAUUGUAUCUGACAUACAAACUUGCAUGCAGGGAAAAAAAUGAUUGAAGGAACAAAGGCAACUUGAUUGCGACUUUUGUUGCUUAUAGUACAAUUAAUGAGCAACUUGAGUGCUGCGGUUCCAUGUAGCUUGCUGUUGCACUUUAAGCACAACUCAUGAUCUCAAUACUUUCAUCUCUAUUGGUUCAUUAAGCAUUCUAAACAGAAAGAGACUUCCAUUGAAUGUGGAAUAGAAUUACAGAUGCAUAACUACCAGUAUAUGUGAUAGAACAUGUGCAAGCUAAACAGAAAGUAGAACCUUCCAUUAAAAUCAUCCCUAUGAUUUGUGAUGGGAUGGUAAAUUACCUUUUGUACUCCUACUAUCCAUAUUGUGCAAGUGGGUAGUUGCAUGAACAUUCAAGCCCUGCCAUUAUCGGUCAAACUGGUUACGGACAAGUGAAUUUGUGGGCUGCUAUUACAAACCAACAUGGAUAAGUAUGCAUCAUACAGAGUUUGAAGCUUCUCAUGCAUGUACAGCAUAAAUCACAUGUCUUGAUGUUUUCCGGUAGAAGCAGGUCCCAAAGAUAACCCACAAAAGGUAGCUAUGCCCCCAUGGCUCCAGUUAUGACUUAUUAGUCUCCCAGAAUGAUGGCAUUUGUGUCCAGAGGGCACAGAUCGGCUAGUUCCAAGCCAAUUGCACAGGUUUUAGCUCAUUGACUGACAAAUCAAUGUUUGGAUAACUGAGAUGGGAGAUGGGAAAAUACGGAAUGAAUUGUAUUUCUAGUCAAGGCUUUUUUUCUCCCCUCUACUGUUGGAUAUCCAACACUCCAAGGAUGGCCUGGAUUUGGUGUAGUUACCCAGCUGCAGUUGCAGCUGUCAUGGCAGGGCAGUUCAUACCAUGGCUAUGUGUUCCUCCUAAUUUACUCGCAGCAUCUCAUCUACUUACAUCAAACCGAAUUAAGUCUAUGACACCCAGAUGCCAAAUCUCAUAAAUAUUUUUUUCCAUGUCAACCAGAAGUGUGUGUAAAAGAAGACUACAACAUUCAAGCAAGUAGGAAAAAAAAUGCACACUUAAAUAUGUAAGAAAUGUUAAAAAUGAUCCGCUAUGUCAUUAUUAACUUUGAACAACAUAUCAAGAAGCCAAGUGAUCCAAAUUGCCAUCUUACUCUCUGUUUGACACACCAUCAGUACUAAAAUAAAGUGCUGUCAGGUUAAGCUUAAGGUUGGGGUGCAACUACCUUAAUUGGAUUCUUUGAAGAAUAUGUCAAUCUUGUAGUUCCAGGAGGUCCACACAUUUGGGACAAACAAGGAAAGUUGGCACGUAUCAUGUCACGUGACAUUUGAACACAGAAAAAGGCAAAUUUAGAUACAUUCCAAAACUCAGACUCAUUAAAUGCAUGGGACCAAUCACGUCUUUUUUUAGGGAAAAAAAAAGAGAAGAGAGCAGCGUCCUAACACAUACGCGAUGUGGGUGAUCAUGUAAUUAUGAUCCAUCACUAAGAGAAAAUAUCACUCCAAGAGAAAAUCAUCAUAUCACUUCAUGAAAAAACAAUGCAACGAAUGGUAGGAAAUUAGGAGUGCCCUGUUUUGACAGAACAUCUAGACAGCAAAUCAUGAGAUCCUAACAGUAUGAAAACAACACCAAAAUAAACAAAUUUAGAUGUGGCAUCAGAACAGUACUCUUGCAUCUAGGAAGUUUGCACUCGUGGCAGAACUACGUUAAGCGCGCGUCAGCAAUCCAUCAUCACUGACCAUGGUAAUGGUUUCCUACGAGUUGACCCACUGUUCUUACAAGAAGAUGCAGGUGCGGACCUAACACGGGGCAAGGCCAGGGUGGUCAUCCAUCCACACCGUGCUUCUUGCUAGUCACGCAGGCGAGGAACUCCAGCUCGCACUGCAGAUCGGAAACAGAGGAGAGUACGAUCGCGAUGGUGAAGGAGGGCAUCUUGGUUAUCUCACUUCUUUGAAGCUCCAUUUCACUAGUUAGUAAGCUCCAUUCCCAAAUCAAAGAGAACAUCAAACCUAAUUCUCCUCUACAGCAGCUCCUUCCAAGGCUCCGGCGCGGCGCCACCACACCAGCAACUACAAACCCUCCGCCUCUCCGGCGAGCUCAUGAACUCCGGCAAACAAGCUAGGGUUAGAAUUCUGGGCAGUGGCAAGGCGGCCAUGACACGGGACCAACUCAACACUCAUGAACACAAAUUUACCAAGACGAGACCGCACGUCUCUCCACACAUAUAGCAAACUAAAAAUCCAAACUAGAACUAAGCAGGAUCAAGCAAUCGAAACGAAGCCGACGACUAAUCGAAACCUAACCAUAUGCUGCCAGGAUCAGCUCCACAGCCCUAGAAACAGAGGCGAUGAUUCCUCCCUCAGCUACGAGCCGAGAGAGAAUUCCCCCCCCCCCAAGCUAGCAACACCCAACCCACGCAUGCAGCCAACAAUCCAAACGGGAUCACCCACGGAAUUGGGAACAGAGAGAUCGAGGAAAGGUGGCGGGAGGCGGGGCUUACCGAGAGACGACGCCCGGAUCUCCCGCGCCGGCGGGAGCGGGAGCGGCGGCGGCGGAGAGCGCUCCCUCCGGCGAAGGGCCGCGCCGCCCACCUCCCUCUCGUGGAGCCCUCGGCGUCGGCGGCGGAGAGAGAGAGAGAGAGGGAGACGCGGUCGCCCUUGGGUCAGAAGGACGCGAGGAGGAGGAGGAGAAGAGUCAGCGCGAGGAAGACGAGGAGAGAGGCAGCGGCGGCCGCGGGCGGGGGUGGUGGGCUCGGUGGGCCGGAGGUUUCUCUAUGUGGGCUCCAGGCCUGGUAAAAUUCCGCGUUGUUUCUGUUGGAGAAAAAAGUCUAAUUUGCCUCCCUUCGUUAUAGCCCAUUUCGCACCGUAAAAAUUUCUAACGCGCAACCAACUCUAAACUCACCUCACGCUCUACACAAUCACAUCCAUUCACAAAGCCUCUGAUGGGUUAUCUUAUCAGCCGUAGCUCAAUUUUGAAAUUUCUAAUUUGAUUCUACAUUUUUUUUAUCUUAGCCUAUUUUUAAUAUUAGAUUUUAAAUCAAGAAUAACACAAAUAUAAAUUUUAUAUCUGUAAUUUAUUUUGUUGGCUUUGUUCAUUUUUCUAUGCCUUAUCAGCUAUAAGUCAAAACGAUCAAAACAAAACAAAAGCUGGAGACUUCGCAAAGGAUAUAAUGAAUCUCGAUGCUAAUGUGAAUAAAUAGGAUAUGGAUUUUUUUAAAAAAAAAACAUUAUGGACACAAGUGCUCAUGUACAAUUGCGCGCAGAGAGAUUACUGUAUUUCUAGUAUUAUAAAAAAUUAAAAAGUACUGAUAUACGUACAAUCCGAUUAUACAACUCAUAUAUAGCUAGAAACUUGCAACCAUAGUUCAAUCUUUAACACAUUUCCCCGCAAAAAAAACACACACACACAUUCAUAUGCACUACAAUCAGCAUGCAUGCACGGGCAUCUCAUCUGAGAAGAUUGGGAAGAUACGCAAAACGAGGUAAGUCAUU